rnacentral:snoRNA from 12 species
AAAAUGAUGAAACCUUACUUCAGGGAGUGGGCAGCUGGCAACAGUUGGCGCACGCAUGACCAGAUUCUAAUCUUCUCGCUGAUUUC